rnacentral:rRNA from 1 species
UACGGAGGGGGCUAGCGUUGUUCGGAAUUACUGGGCGUAAAGCGCGCGUAGGCGGACCUGCAAGUCGGGGGUGAAAGCCCGAGGCUCAACCUCGGAACUGCCUUCGAUACUGCGGGUCUCGAGUCCGGGAGAGGUGAGUGGAAUUCCUAGUGUAGAGGUGAAAUUCGUAGAUAUCGAUAGGAACUCCAAGGGCGUAGGCAGGUAACUAGGAAUUAUUUGACGCUGAGGAACGAAAGCUAGGGGAGCGAAAGGG